UACGUAGGGUGCAAGCGUUGUCCGGAGUUAUUGGGCGUAAAGAGCUCGUAGGCGGUCUGUUGCGUCGGCUGUGAAAACCCGGGGCUCAACUCCGGGCCUGCAGCCGAUACGGGCAGACUAGAGUUCGGCAGGGGAGACUGGAAUUCCUGGUGUAGCGGUGAAAUGCGCAGAUAUCAGGAGGAACACCGGUGGCGAAGGCGGGUCUCUGGGCCGAUACUGACGCUGAGGAGCGAAAGCGUGGGGAGCGAACAGG
rnacentral:rRNA from 1 species